rnacentral:rRNA from 1 species
UACAGAGGUCCCAAGCGUUGUUCGGAUUCACUGGGCGUAAAGGGUGCGUAGGUGGUGAGGUAAGUCUGAUGUGAAAUCUCCGAGCUCAACUCGGAAAUGGCAUUGGAAACUGCCCCACUUGAGGAGUGGAGGGGGGACUGGAAUUCUCGGUGUAGCAGUGAAAUGCGUAGAGAUCGAGAGGAACACCAGUGGCGAAGGCGAGUCCCUGGACACUUCCUGACGCUGAGGCACGAAAGCUAGGGGAGCAAACAGG